UACGUAGGGUGCGAGCGUUAAUCGGAAUUACUGGGCGUAAAGCGUGCGCAGGCGGCUUCGCAAGUCAGACGUGAAAUCCCCGGGCUUAACCUGGGAAUGGCGUUUGAAACUACGGAGCUGGAGUGUGGCAGAGGGAGGUAGAAUUCCACGUGUAGCGGUGAAAUGCGUAGAUAUCAGGAGGAACACCGAUGGCGAAGGCAGGUCUCUGGUCCUUAACUGACGCUGAGGCGCGAAAGCAUGGGGAGCGAACGGG
rnacentral:rRNA from 1 species